CGGGGCGUAGCGCAGUCUGGUAGCGCACCUGGAUGGGGGCCAGGUGGUCGCUGGUUCGAAUCCAGUCGCCCCGACCA
rnacentral:tRNA from 1 species